CUUCAGAUAUUAGGCAUGCUGCAGGCUAGAUGGAUCUCCCGAUCUCCCAUUGUUGCAGUGGGAUUGGAAAAUGGUUUGAAAAAUAGUGACAGCCACAAGAACAGUGCUCUGUAUUCAUAUCUGAAUAGGAGAGGUGGUUCGUGGUGGCUAUGCAAAAGCCUCGGUAUAGACUGAUAUCUCUAAACCUCUAAAUCCUACAGUGGACAUCAUUGUGAAAGGAAGGAA
rnacentral:lncRNA from 1 species